GCGGCGGCGGCGGGACCCGGAGCAGGAGUGGCAGCAGCAGCUACUGGGGGCGGCGGCGGCGCGUUGGAGGCGGCCAUGGCAAAGCAGUACGACUCGGUGGAGUGCCCUUUUUGCGAUGAAGUUUCCAAAUACGAGAAGCUCGCCAAGAUCGGCCAAGGCACCUUCGGGGAGGUGUUUAAGGCCAGGCACCGCAAGACCGGCCAGAAGGUGGCUCUGAAGAAGGUGCUGAUGGAAAACGAGAAGGAGGGGUUCCCCAUUACAGCCUUGCGGGAGAUCAAGAUCCUUCAGCUUCUAAAACACGAGAAUGUGGUCAACUUGAUUGAGAUUUGUCGAACCAAAGCUUCCCCCUAUAACCGCUGCAAGGGUAGUAUAUACCUGGUGUUUGACUUCUGCGAGCAUGACCUUGCUGGGCUGUUGAGCAAUGUUUUGGUCAAGUUCACGCUGUCUGAGAUCAAGAGGGUGAUGCAGAUGCUGCUUAACGGCCUCUACUACAUCCACAGGAACAAGAUCCUGCAUAGGGACAUGAAGGCUGCUAAUGUGCUUAUCACUCGUGAUGGGGUCCUGAAGCUGGCAGACUUUGGGCUGGCCCGGGCCUUCAGCCUGGCCAAGAACAGCCAGCCCAACCGCUACACCAACCGUGUGGUGACACUCUGGUACCGGCCCCCGGAGCUGUUGCUCGGUGAGGACUCCCGAGCGGGCCAAGGGG
rnacentral:sRNA from 1 species